AGAUUGAACGCUGGCGGCAUGCCUUACACAUGCAAGUCGAACGGCAGCACGGGAGCAAUCCUGGUGGCGAGUGGCGAACGGGUGAGUAAUACAUCGGAACGUGCCCAAUCGUGGGGGAUAACGCAGCGAAAGCUGUGCUAAUACCGCAUAAGAUCUACGGAUGAAAGCAGGGGAUCGCAAGACCUUGCGCGAAUGGAGCGGCCGAUGGCAGAUUAGGUAGUUGGUGAGGUAAAGGCUCACCAAGCCUUCGAUCUGUAGCUGGUCUGAGAGGACGACCAGCCACACUGGGACUGAGACACGGCCCAGACUCCUACGGGAGCAGCAGUGGGAAUUUGGACAAUGGGCGAAAGCCUGAUCCAGCCAUGACCGCGUGCGAGGAU
rnacentral:rRNA from 1 species